GCUGAUGAAGCUGAUAUGGUCCGUGUUUCAGACUCCUGGAUUGACGUACAGCAGCAUAUCCACUGA
rnacentral:snoRNA from 1 species